UUGAAGCUGCAUUCCUGGCAGAGGAAGACUGGGUGGCUGUGGUGCCCGUGCCCUGGUAUCACCACACAAGUGCUGCUUGUUUUCAAUGGAGCCAGUCAUCCGGCGGAUCUUGUUCAGUGUUUCUUUAACAUUUUUGCAGCUCCUUUGUUUAAGAUUUCAGGACAAAUUGCGUCCCUAGUUCCUCCAGCACUUGGCAUUAGGGCCUGACCUAAUUUCCUCUGUUCUGAGGCUGUCAUUCAGGUUUAGGCCUCAGUGGUUGGCUAGUCUCUUGUCCUUCCUUCUGACUGCUGGUUUUUCCCUCUUUGACCUUUCAUUCUGUGCCCUCUGCUGUAGCCUUCACACAUGAGAGCAGCGCUGAGAGUAUAGUGUAUGGCACUUAAGAGAAGUGAGGUGCGAAACUCCUCCUCACCUGCUGGCUGUGCUUGCUGAAGCCAAUGCUCUAUGCAUCCAAGAGAGGAGAGUGACCUGCCAGUGGUGCACAAGCAUAAUUAAGCUCUCGGACAAGUAAUGGUGGAGGCCUGGAUGGAAGCCAUCCUCUUGAAUCUGGAACCCUACAAAACAUUGAGAAGCUCAGAUCUGGACCUGACCUUUGCAGUUAAUCCCUAUCUCUUUAUAAAGGGCUGACCAAAACCUGACCGUCCCUGAGCUGUGGUGAAAUUCAGAGCUGACCCACGCUUUGCAGCUCAGGCCCAUGUCUAUUUACUAGGCUGAGUUGUGUAACGCCUACCUGACAGGAAAAGUGAUGGUGAGUGAAGUUUAGGAACUGUUACACAAACUGAUGUGUGUUUGUUCUGUUAUAGCCUUGCAGUUAUAGAGUAGAAAUGUAGAUGAAACCUGGCAGCUGGUUAAUUACAGCAUAUCAGUAGCGCCAUCAGUCAUUUGGAGUUUCUUUUGUACAUACACCCCAAUUUUGGUAGGUAUGGGGAAGUAAGGGAGGGUACUUUUGGUCCUCUCAAAUAUCAAUUAGGCUGAAAUUUGACUUAUUUGUUCUCUAUUUAUUUAAAAUAUUAGGAGCUGUUAGACAAGUUUAAAUGAAAAAAGCUCCAUAGCAAAGAAAUUAGAAUUUGGGCCGAUUCUGCUUCCAUUAAGUUAGGCUGCAUACAGGAUUAACUGACUGCAAUUCUAUGACAUGUAAUACAAGAGGUCAGCCUAGAUCAUCGGAGCAAUCCCUUCUGGAUUUAAAGAUCUAUUAAACUCGAGUCAAUGGCAGUUUUGCCACUGACUUUGGUGGAAGCAAUAUAAAGCUUAUGUUGCCUAUAGCUGGAGAGUGGAACAUGCAGUUCACCACUGGCUUCUUUUUCCAAGCAAAAAGCAGAUGUGUUGCAGAGCCACAUGACACUGCCUUCUUUAUCUCCAAAUUGCACACAGCCCAGCAGAUCCCCUGCCCUCAGCAUGGCUCUUAUGGCAGUGGUUGCUGGUGUCUCCCAGAUAAAUCAAUAUUGCUGAGCACUGUGGACCAAAUUUUCAAAAGUAGCCACUAAUUUUGGGUGUCUCCAUUUUUGGGGUGUUCAAGGUGAGAGAGGGAAAUACAGGUGCAGCUACACUGAAACUGUUGGCUUGUCUACGCUGCCCCAUAAUUCAGACUAGGGGGUGUGAAUAGCAGUGCACACCAAAGUGCUGUGCUGUAACUCGGCCAUGUGGACACUGCGGGCCAUAAGUGCUGGAAAUAGGGGCGCUGCUGCACCCAUUGGCUUGAAAUAGUAAUAACUCAAAUACAUGUUUUUUGCCAUCAGCACCCCCACUAUAAAAAUUGUUCCAGCACCACUGCUGCGGGCGCAAACUUAAAGGUUCCUAGUUCAUAUUAGUGUAAUCCUCUUCAAACAGGAUUACAUUAAUGUGAACUAUGAACCUUUUAUUUCGCUCCUGCAGCAUCCACACAGAGGCAUUUCAACUCAGCACUUCGGUGCACACUGCUAUUCAUAGCCCCCGUAGUCUGAACUGUGGGGCAGUGUAGGCAUAGCCUGUGACCCAUAUCUUUUAGAGAGGUGUCUCAUCUCGAUUUAAAGACUUCACAUGAUGGAGAAUCGACCACAUAUCCCUUUGUUUGCUGUUCCAAUGGUUAAUUGCCACUGUUAAAAAAUUGUCCUUUAUUUCUGGUUUGAAUGCCUUUUUCUCUAGAUUACAGAACCCUUUAAUAUUACAUAUUUUCACCCUGCAUAGGUACUUAUAGACUGUGAAUGGGUCAUCUCUUCAAUAAACUAAAUAGCUUGAGCUCCUUUAGUUUCUCACUUUAAGACAUGAUUACCAAAACUGUAAUUAUUUUGUAGCUCUUUUGUGAACUCUCUCCAAUUUUAAAGUGUGGACACCAAGACACAGUGUUCAAUUAGUAGUGGUCAUCACUGCUGUUGACAACAAUAAUAUCACCUCCCUACUCCUACUUGAUAUUCCCCUGUUUAUACAGCCAAGGCUCAAGUUAGCCCUUUAUCUUGCGAGUGGCAUGAUUGAAGAAAACUUCUGAACUGCUUUAACAGAAAAGAUCAAUGGUCAAUCUCAUCUAGUAUGCUGUCUUCUGACAUUUCUCUAUGCCUCAUGCUUCAGAGAAAGGUUUGACAUGUUUGGUCACGACCUGUGCUCAGCACAGGACAUGAUCGGCUUUAGACUACCGUUAUGCAUACUCCGUCUUGGAGCUAGCCAAAGCCAAGUCUUUGCCAAGGGGCAUUACCGGAGCAAAGAAAUGGUCUGGCCAAUCUCUUCCCUGGCCAACCCCCUGCUAUGGAGAUUGCAAAGGUUGCACCUGGGAUUCCCCCAUCCUUAGAUGGCUGGGUAAGCCAGCUUUACAACCCCUUUGCACUGGUGAAGUUGUCCAAAGGGGUCAUGGAGCCAGGACCUGGACCUACAAGUUUACAAGACUACAUGGUGAGGAGUGGCUGUAUUUCAGUGAAGGCUGAAGUAAUUUCUGUGUAUGGUUUGUGAAGUGCACUGGGAUCUUUUGGGAUGAAAGGCGUGAUAUAAAAACAGAAUUUACAUUAGGGCGAGACAGCUACGUGUUGAUGGCCUAUCAAGGACACUCCACUCUCACAAUGGGCCAUUGAAGAAACUCAUCCCAUCCAGAUAGCUCUUCCUGAGGAUGCUUCAGACAGCAAAGAGCCAAUGGUCACCCCGUGUGAUUCAGCAAAAGGUUUAAGGGCAUGUGAUGUGCUCAUGUGACCCUGACUCCAUCUUAGGCCAGUAACUUUCCACAUACAGGGGCUGUGGGCUUUGUUUGGGAUAGUAAAUGCACAUAGCAGAGGAUAUAAAAAGACCUCUGAGACACCGCCAUGUUGUUUCUUUCUUGCUCUAAUUCUCUGGACUGUAGAUUUACAACUAAAAGGAGCAUCUUGAACUACGGACUGAGGACCUUUCAAUCUUUUGGAAGUUACCAGAGAGAUUUUACAAGCCAGCAGUCUAUUCCAUCACUAGAACAAACUUGAUAUAAGGACUUUGCAAUUGUUUGUAUAUAAUCUAUUAACCAUGUAACUCUCUUAUUUUAUUAAUAAAUCUUUAGUUAGUUUACUAAG